ensembl:lncRNA
AUGGCCACCAUUCCAAAGCCUGGUCCCGUCAUGGCCGCCAUUCCUGAGCUUCAUCCUGUCAUGGCUGCAAUUCUAGAGUCUCGUCCCAUCAUGGCCGGCUUACCAGAGCCUCAUCCCAUUAUGAAUCUGCUCCAGAGCCCACUCCAGUCCAUUAAUCUGCUCCAGAACUCACCCAAUGCCCAGAGCUCAGUCCUGUGUUUCUGUCUCUGUAAAUCUCAGGGCUCAAUCUAAUCCUGGGUCUUUAACAUGUUUACUUUGCAGCUCAAAGAUUCAUCCGGGGUCACAUCAUAACAUAACACACAAAUCAACCCUGCACUGCCCUAGAACAAUAAAGCCUUGUUUUAUUAACGGCCAUUUCAUGUCGGAAGUCUGAGAUUCUCAUCUACUUAAACCUUAAAACAGUUUGCUGACAUAGCUAUUUGCUGCAAAGUCUCUCAUGGCCUGGUCUGUAGAAGAAGUAGAAGUGAAAAGUAAUUUGUGAGAAGCAGAAGGCCUCAUCUCAUUUCUCAAUUCAAAUCUAAUCAAAUUUUACAGUACAAUGCUAGGGUGUUAGGGAUGUAAGUACUGUUUUUAACUGCAAAAAUCAUUAAAAUUUAGUUGAAUUCAUAUUUUGUUGUUGUUUUUUUCAUCAGUAAAGCUAUCUAAACAUCUAUGCAAUUUUUUUUUUUUAAUUGUGAGAUAUAAACUUAGAAUUCUGACUUUUUUCUAACGUUGCAAAGGGGCGGAACAUUUCCUGAAAACAUUCUAAAGGGUUCCGAAAAUUCCUCAAAUGUUCUGAAAGUUUCCAAAAAAUCUCUGGAAGUUUCCAAAACUUCUGUAAAAUUCCGGAAAAUAUCUGGAAAUUUUCCACCUGUUUUCAUUCCUACUUUUUUCUCACAAUUUCGAAUUUAAAACUCAUAAUUCUGACUUUUUUCCCCCUCAGAGUUUUGUUUCUGCCACAAAAUGUGAUUUUGUAUCUCACAAUUCUACAUUAUUAUCAUGCAAUUCUAAGUUUAUAUCUUGCAAUUCUGAAAAAAUAAAUAAAUGAAUAAAAUCAGAAUUGUGAUAUACAAACUCAAAAUUAAAAAGUAAAAAGUCAGAAUUGUGAGUUAAAACGUUGCAAUUACCUUUUUUUAUUCUUUUAUCUUAUGCCGGAAACAGACUUCCAUAACUCCAUUGCUUCUCAAGCAUACCUUGUUUUUAGGAAAAAUACUGAUUAAGUAAAUUAUCUUUUGCAGUGCAGUGACAACGGGCUGUGUAACAGAGUUCAGAGUUCUGUACAGAGCCAAGAAAACAAAGAGCAUAAGGGAAUCUCGCAUAACAGAGGUGUGUGUGUGCUGAAAGUGGAUCCGUCUGUAGCGUGUCAAGCUGGUGGAUCCAUGUGCCAAAUCUGAGGCUUGUGAGGCCGUCGCCUCUUCUGAAAGAGCUGUCUGACGUGCAGGCACCUGCUGCCGUCCCACCCAGCAGCCCUAACACACGCACACCGUCUGCCUUACACCUUGGCUGCCACCUGAUCCUUUAGUUGCACAUAAUCCUGGACAAACUUUUUCUUUUUUCCUACACACAUACAUAAAAACCAUUACAUAAGAAGCCACACCACUUUCUGUCAAACGGUGAUUUUGGAUGAAAUAUGUACAAAUGAUAUAAUUGGUGCAGAAAUGUGCUUGGACAUGCUCAGGACCAGCGUGAUCUCCUGGUGGCCCCAUAAUGGUUUUUGUGCUUAUAGUGAUGAGAUGACUACACAAAAUGAUGCACAUGGUUGGGUUUAUGUGUGCAUUAUUUAGCAUGGACAAUUAACAGCUGUAUUAUAGGUUUGUGUGUUUAUUUGUAUUGUGUGUAUGUUUGUGUUUGUGACAUCAAAUGCCAGUCAGCAGCUGUCUACGGUUUAUCUGAGGCUCGGGAUUAAAGGUAAUUAUGUUGUAAAUAAUGUUAGGUUUUCUUGCACAAACUGAUUGUUUUGGUUCAUAAGACCGCAAUAUACCAUCAGGAGCCACUGGUAAAAAUAUUCCUUGAUGUUCUAUUGAAGAACAUUUUUGGGUGGACUAUCCCUUUAAAGGAGUUUCUGUUAUGUUGAUUUUUUUUUUGUUUACAAUUUGUUUGUUUGUUUGUUUGUUUGUUUUGAGUCAAAUCAUUUGUUUUUAGAGUGAUUUGAAGAAGGCAUGCUUUACUAUUAACAGAAGUGGACCACAAAGCUAAGCAUUAAAUAUUGUUCUAUCGUAAACUAUUUCAUGUUAGAAAUCUUAAAUGUCCGGCAGUAAUAUGGAGUGAUGCAAGUUUAUUUUUAGUCAAUUUCCAAUUUUAGUCAAUUUUCUUGAUACAUUUUCUUACUCUCUUUGUUGCCAUGCUGUCCUUUUUUUCCCACUGAGCUUUCUGCAGUGCAUUAUGGGAUAACUUUCUGUGAUUUGUCAUAGAAGUGGAACACAGACUCGGGACAUACAUGAGCAGCUGGUUUACUUGAGCCCAGGUUUCAGUCUGACCUAUGUGUCAUGUCUAUUUUCAUUCUGUUUUGCAUCACUACUUUCUUAUCUUCGCUGUAAAGACAAAACAACAAAAAGUUAAAUUAUAAAAAGAAUGUGGUCAGAAAAAGGUAAAGUAUAAAAGCAUAAUGUCAUUGCCUGUCUAUUUAAAUAUAUUUUGCCUAUGAUGCCUUAAAAAAAGCAGUCUACUAGGUUUUGGAGCAGGGACUGUCUUUCUCUCGUUCUCUGUGUAUGUGUGGACACACAACGGCCUCAAUGGCCUCAGCGCCAAUGGAGUUUCCCCUCCACACAGCCCCUCACCCCCACCUCCAACCCUCUCUCCCAAACUGUGGAAAAUCUGACCGUUUUGCUCCAGGGAUACUCCACUGUCAAACAAUAGCCAUGUAACAUUACAGUUCUUCCCCAUUCAGUUCUAUUUUUUGCUCAUUUUGAUUAAUCUUCCCUCUGGAUGGAACAAUGUUAUCUGUGCCCUUAAACCUUCUUCACACCGACAACAAGC